rnacentral:rRNA from 1 species
ACCUGGGUUUGACAUGUUUGGAUGCCUACCGGGAACCGAUUAGGCUGCCUUCGGGUGACACCUACACAGGUGCUGCAUGGCUGUCGUCAGUUCGUGUCGUGAGAUGUCGGGUUAAGUCCUUUAACGAGCGAAACCCUUGCCGUUAGUUGCCAGCGGGUAAUGCCGGGGACUCUAGCGGGACUGCCGGUGUCAAACCGGAGGAAGGCGGGGAUGACGUCAAGUCCUCAUGGCCUUUAUGCCCAGGGCUUCACACGUGCUACAAUGGUUACUACAAAGCGACGCAAGACCGCGAGGUGGAGCAAAUCGCAAAAAAGUAGCCUCAGUUCGGAUUGCAGGCUGACAACUCGCCUGCAUGAAGUUGGAAUCGCUAGUAAUCGCGUAUCAGCUACGACGCGGUGAAUGUGUUCCUGAGCCUUGUACACACCGCCCGUCAAGUGAUGGUAAGUACGGAGAUGCACCACUGAAGUCAGAUUGCAUAACUGUCUCGCAGAAGCAGUCUGCCUACGGUGAACGUUCGAUGACUGGCACUAAGUCGUAACAAGGUAACCAA